rnacentral:rRNA from 1 species
AGAUGGUUACUUAUGGGCGGAUGGUGGAUGCCUUGGGACUGGGAGGCGAUGAAGGACGUGGCGUGCCUGCGAUAAGCUUCGGGGAGGUGGCAAGCAACCUUUGAUCCGGAGAUUUCCGAAUGGGGAAACCUAAUCCCGUAAAACGGGAUUGGCCCGGCCUGAAAAGGUUUGGGCAGCGAUACCUGGGGAAGCGAAACAUCAUAGUACCCAGAGGAAAAGAAAAUAACGGUUAACUAAUUUAGUUAGCCAUAUUCCCUUAGUAGCGGCGAGCGAAAAGGGAGAAGUCUAAACUCGUUUAUAUUUUCGCAAGAAAAUAUGGGCGGGGGUUGUAAGGGAAUAUCUUCGGGAGCUAAACAUAUAAAAUAAUAUUUUAUAUGUUUAGACCCCCGAGGGAGAACACCUAGGUAAAGUUGUUAAUCAAAUGCUUCUGGAAAGAGCAACCAAAGAAGGUAAUAGUCCUGUAGAUGAAAAUAAUUUUAUGCUCCUUGAUAUUCUUCUUAAGUACCUCGGGAAACGACAGCCCUGAGGGAAGCAGGCCGAACUAAAGGCCAAGACUAAAUACUACCCAGUCACCGAUAGUGAACCAGUACCGUGAGGGAAAGGUGAAAAGAAGCCCGAUGAGGGCAGUGAAAUAGAACCUGAAACCAUCACGCUCACAAAGAGUCGGAGCCCCGCCCUCUAUGCUCAUAAUCAAGCUUAGUUGAUUUUGUUGUAUUUUUUUAAAUGCUACAAGUUAAUUGACUUCGAUUGUGUGCUUAGAGGGCGGGGUGACGGCGUGCUUUUUGCAGAACGAACCAACGAGUUCAGGUACUUUCUAUGUCUAAGCCCCUCUGGGGCGAAGGCGAAGGGAAACCGAGUCUUAAAAGGGCGUAUUAAGAAAGUGCUUGAGACCCGAAGCCAAGCGAGCUUGCCAUGACCAGGGUGAACUCCGAUUUUUAAUCGGGGGGAGGCCCGAACCCGUGAAUUGUGCAAUAUUCUGGGAUGAGUUGUGGUAAGAAGCGAAAAACUAAACGAGCUUGGUAAUAGCUGGUUCUCCCCGAAAUAGCUUUAGGGCUAGCGUCUUCAUUAUAUGAUACUUGGAGGUAGAGCACUGGAAGAAACUUCUUGGGGAAACUCAGAUGUUUCUACCAAACUCCGAAUGCCGAGUAUCUUUGAAGGCAGUCAGAACUUGGGCGCUAAGGUCCAAGCUCAAAAGGGAAACAGCCCUUGAUCUUCAUUUAAGGUCCCUAAAUCUGAGCUAAGUGUUCUUAAGGAAGUGGGAUUCCUCUGAUAGUUAGGAGGUUAGCUUAGAAGCAGCUAUCCUUUAAAAAGUGCGUAACAGCUUACUAACUAAGGGAUCCUGCGCCGAAGAUUUCCGGGACUAAGCUCGGUACCGAAGAUAAGAAUUUUUGCCAAUUUAUUGGCAAAAGUGGUAGGGGAGCAUUCCUAUCGCAGCGAAGCCCGGCUGUAAGGCCUUGGGUGGAGCGAUAGGAAGAGAGAAUGUUGGCAUGAGUAACCGCAAUGGCAGUCAAAUCCUGCCACACCGCAAGCCUAAGGUUUCCUUGGCAAGGACGAUCCACCAAGGGUUAGGCGAUCCUUAGUCUAUGACCGAAAGGUCAAGAUGAUGGGCAGCCGGUUAAUAUUCCGGCCCCUCUCUAGUUUUCUGAAGCGUGACGAAGCCUGCAAGUUUGGAAGGAUAAUUGGUUUUCCUCACUCCCGCAAGGGGGGUUUCAAAUGAACAGGUUUCCCAGAAAAACGCGUAGGGUUAAAAUUAGAGAGAUCGUACCGCAAACUGACACCGGUAGGCUGGUGUGAAUACACCAAGGUGAACGAGUGAAAGCUCCUGAAGGAACUAGGCAAAAAAGUAGGCGUAAGUUAGCGAUAUGCCUUGCCUCGACCCGCAAGGGUUUGAGGCUGCAACAAAAGAUCCCAGGCGACUGUUUAACAAAAACACAGAUCCCUGCUUAACUCGUAAGAGGAUGUAUA